rnacentral:rRNA from 1 species
GGGCCCGCACAAGCAGUGGAUUAUGUGGUUUAAUUCGAAGCAACGCGAAGAACCUUACCAGGGUUUGACAUCCUACUAACGAAGCGGAAACGCAUUAGGUGCCCUUCGGGGAAAGUAGAGACAGGUGGUGCAUGGUUGUCGUCAGCUCGUGUCGUGAGAUGUUGGGUUAAGUCCCGCAACGAGCGCAACCCUUAUUGUUAGUUGCUACGCAAGAGCACUCUAGCGAGACUGCCGUUGACAAAACGGAGGAAGGUGGGGACGACGUCAAAUCAUCAUGCCCCUUAUGUCCUGGGCUACACACGUAAUACAAUGGCGCACACAGAGGGAAGCAAGACCGCGAGGUGGAGCAAAUCCCUAAAAGGCGUCUCAGUUCAGAUUGCAGUCUGAAACCCGACUGCAUGAAGUCGGAAUUGCUAGUAAUCGCGGAUCAGCAUGCCGCGGUGAAUACGUUCCCGGGCCUU